AAGUCGUAACAAGGUUUCCGUAGGUGAACCUGCGGAAGGAUCAUUAUCGUACAACAGAGGUGCGAGGGCUGUCGCUGACCUUCAAAGGUCGUGCACGCCCAAGCGCUCUCACACAAUCCAUCUCACCCCCUUUUGUGCAUCACCGCGUGGGCCCCUCUUUUCAAAGGAGGGCUUGCGUUUUCACAUAAGACUUGAUACAGUGUAGAAUGUUUUUCUUUUGCGGUCACACGCAAUCAAUACAACUUUCAACAACGGAUCUCUUGGCUCUCGCAUCGAUGAAGAACGCAGCGAAAUGCGAUACGUAAUGUGAAUUGCAGAAUUCAGUGAAUCAUCGAAUCUUUGAACGCACCUUGCGCCCCUUGGCAUUCCGAGGGGCACACCCGUUUGAGUGUCGUGAAAUCAUCAAAGACCCCUUUCUUUGAGGGGAUUUUUGGACUUGGAGGUCUCAUGCUCGCUUUCGCUUUCGAAAGUGAGCUCCUCUUAAAUGAAUUAGUGGGGUCUGCUUUGCUGGUCCUUGACGUGAUAAGGUGUUUCUACGUUUUGGAUUUGGCACUGUUCCUUGGAUGCCUGCUUCUAAUCGUCUCUCGAGACAACGAUAGCGUUUCGGUCACCGGNCAAAUCUACAUUGGCGGGCGGGAGGCUGGACCCACAAAAAGAAAAGACCUUGACCUCAAAUCGGGUGAGACUACCCGCUGAACUUAAGCAUAUCAAUAAGCGGAGGA
rnacentral:misc_RNA from 1 species